rnacentral:SRP_RNA from 2 species
GCUUGGGAAGUUUGUAAAAGGUAGCUGGAGAAUCUGUCAGGUCCGAAAGGAAGCAGCAGGGUCAGUUAACUUUGUACAAGCUUCCCACUCUUG